UACGUAGGUGGCAAGCGUUGUCCGGAAUUAUUGGGCGUAAAGCGCGCGCAGGCGGCCUCUUAAGUCUGAUGUGAAAGCCCCCCGGCUCAACCGGGGAGGGCCAUUGGAAACUGGGAGGCUUGAGUAUAGGAGAGAAGAGUGAAGAUUCCACGUGUAGCGGUGAAAUGCGUAGAGAUGUGGAGGAACACCAGUGGCGAAGGCGACUCUUUGGCCUAUAACUGACGCUGAGGCGCGAAAGCGUGGGGAGCAAACAGG
rnacentral:rRNA from 1 species